GCGGGUGUAGUUCAACGGUAGAGCGCCAGCACUACCAAGCUGGCGGCGGCGUUCGACUCUGGUCGAAUGCUCCA
rnacentral:tRNA from 1 species